UAUCUACUCUCUCCGUUUCGAAUUAUUUAUCUUGAAUUUGUCUAAAUAUAGAUAUAUUUAAACUCAUUUUAGUGUUAGAUACAUCCAUAUCUAGACAAAUCUAAGACAGGUAAUUCAGAACGGAGGGAGUAGUAG
rfam:Triticum urartu cultivar G1812 contig671741, whole genome shotgun sequence.